AGGUGUAGAUGGUGUUUGACACAAAACCCGGCUCAAUCGGUGGCCGGAUCGACUGGAAUAUAGCAGAGAAGUUGAAGCAGCGCGCUGCGCGUCGGGGGUCUUCGCGCGCACUUUCCCAGGGUUCCAGGAGGUAGCUGGCGAGGAAGGAAGGGCGAGGCAGCGCGCCGACGAGCUAGGGAGGCGGGGGCUGUAGCUGGCCGGCGUGGGGAGGAGGGAGGAGAGAGA
rnacentral:misc_RNA from 1 species